AUCAUCUGUGGCACAAUGAGUCAGUGUGUCUGGCUGUUGACAAGAAGUUUGUUGGUUCGAGCCCACGCAGAGAUG